rnacentral:rRNA from 1 species
UGAAUACGAGAUGCUACGGCGUCGAAGCAGUGUAUGUCAGACUUCCAAGAAAAGCUCGCAAUGUCAUAAAUAAAGAAUGCCUGUACCAUAACCGACACAGGUGGGUAGGUAGAGUAUACUAAGGGGCGCGAGAUAACUCUCUCUAAGGAACUCGGCAAAAUAACUCCGUAACUUCGGGAGAAGGAGUGCCUUCUUUAAGAAGGUUGCAAUAACAAGAUCCAAGCAACUGUUUAUCAAAAACACAGGUCUCCGCUAAGUCGUAAGACGAUGUAUGGGGGCUGACGCCUGCCCAGUGCCAGAAGGUUAAAGAAGUUGGUUAGCUUUUGCGAAGCUGAUGACUGAAGCCCUGGUGAACGGCGGCCGUAACGAUAACGGUCCUAAGGUAGCGAAAUUCCUUGUCGGGUAAGUUCCGACCCGCACGAAAGGCGUAAUGAUUUGGAUACUGUCUCGGAGAGGGACUCGGUGAAAUAGACUUGUCUGUGAAGAUGCGGACUACCUGCACCAGGACAGAAAGACCCUAUGAAGCUUUACUGUAACUUGAAAUUGAAAUUGGACUUUAUUUGCACAGUAUAGGUGGAAGGCGUUGAAAGUAAUCUUGCGGGAUUAGUGGAGCCAUCAGUGAGAUACCACUCCUAUAAUGUUAGAUUUCUAACUUUGGAUCAUGAUCUGGUCAAAGAACAGUUUCAGGCGGGCAGUUUGACUGGGGCGGUCGCCUCCCAAAUGGUAACGGAGGCGUACAAAGGUUUCCUCUGAACGGGUAGAAAUCGUAUCUAGAGUGUAAAGGCAUAAGGAAGCUUGACUGUGAGACCUACAAGUCGAGCAGGGACGAAAGUCGGUCUUAGUGAUCUGACGGUGCUGAGUGGAAAGGCCGUCACUCAACGGAUAAAAGUUACUCUAAGGAUAACAGGCUGAUCUCCCCCAAGAGUUCACAUCGACGGGGAGGUUUGGCACCUCGAUGUCGGCUCAUCGCAUCCUGGGGCGGUAGUACGUCCCAAGGGUUGGGCUGUUCGCCCAUGAAAGCGGUACGCGAGCUGGGUUCAGAACGUCGUGAGACAGUUCGGUCCAUAUCCGGUGUAGGCGUUAGAAUAUUGAGAGGAGCCUUCUUUAGUACGAGAGGACCGAGAAGGACAUACCUCUGGUGUACCAGUUAUCGUGCCAACGGUAAACGCUGGGUAGCUAUGUAUGGAGAGGAUAACCGCUGAAAGCAUCUAAGUGGGAAGCCCACCUCAAGAUGAG